rnacentral:rRNA from 1 species
GGUCAAGCGAACAAGUGCAUGUGGUGGAUGCCUUGGCGAUCACAGGCGAUGAAGGACGCGGUAGCCUGCGAAAAGCUACGGGGAGCUGGCAAACGAGCUUUGAUCCGUAGAUGUCCGAAUGGGGAAACCCGGCCCUUUUGGGUCAUCCUGGACUGAAUACAUAGGUCCAGUGAAGCGAACGCGGUGAACUGAAACAUCUAAGUAACCGCAGGAAAAGAAAUCAACCGAGAUUCCCAAAGUAGUGGCGAGCGAAAUGGGAUGAGCCUUGCACUCUUUAUUUGUAUUGUUAGCCGAACGCUCUGGAAAGUGCGGCCAUAGCAGGUGAUAGCCCUGUAGGCGAAAACAGUAUGAAAGAACUAGGUGUGCGACAAGUAGGGCGGGACACGUGAAAUCCUGUCUGAAGAUGGGGGGACCAUCCUCCAAGGCUAAAUACUCGUGAUCGACCGAUAGUGAACCAGUACCGUGAGGGAAAGGCGAAAAGAACCCCGGGAGGGGAGUGAAAUAGAUCCUGAAACCGCAUGCAUACAAACAGUCGGAGCCUCGUAAGGGGUGACGGCGUACCUUUUGUAUAAUGGGUCAGCGACUUACGUUCAGUAGCAAGCUUAACCGUAUAGGGCAGGCGUAGCGAAAGCGAGUCCGAAUAGGGCGUUCAGUUGCUGGGCGUAGACCCGAAACCAGGUGAUCUAUCCAUGGCCAGGAUGAAGGUGCGGUAACACGUACUGGAGGUCCGAACCCACUAACGUUGAAAAGUUAGGGGAUGAGCUGUGGAUAGGGGUGAAAGGCUAAACAAACCUGGAAAUAGCUGGUUCUCUCCGAAAACUAUUUAGGUAGUGCCUCGUGUCUCACCUUCGGGGGUAGAGCACUGUCAUGGUUGGGGGGUCUAUUGCAGAUUACCCCGCCAUAGCAAACUCCGAAUACCGAAGAGUGCAAUCACGGGAGACAGACAUCGGGUGCUAACGUCCGGUGUCAAGAGGGAAACAACCCAGACCGCCAGCUAAGGUCCCCAAAUAUAGCUAAGUGGGAAACGAAGUGGGAAGGCUAAAACAGUCAGGAGGUUGGCUUAGAAGCAGCCACCCUUUAAAGAAAGCGUAAUAGCUCACUGAUCGAGUCGUCCUGCGCGGAAGAUGUAACGGGGCUAAGCUAUAUACCGAAGCUGCGGAUGCGAGCUUUGCUCGCAUGGUAGGAGAGCGUUCCGUAAGCCUGCGAAGGUGCCUUGUAAAGGGUGCUGGAGGUAUCGGAAGUGCGAAUGCUGACAUGAGUAGCGAUAAAGGGGGUGAAAGGCCCCCUCGCCGUAAGCCCAAGGUUUCCUACGCAACGUUCAUCGGCGUAGGGUGAGUCGGCCCCUAAGGCGAGGCAGAAAUGCGUAGCUGAUGGGAAGCAGGUCAAUAUUCCUGCACCAUUGUUAGAUGCGAUGGGGGGACGGAUCGCGGAAGGUUGUCCGGGUGUUGGAAGUCCCGGUCGCUGCAUUGGAGAAGGCGCUUAGGCAAAUCCGGGCGCGUAAUUCAAGGGUGUGGCGCGAGCUCCUUAGGGAGCGAAGCAAUUGGAAGUGGUUCCAAGAAAAGCCUCUAAGCUUCAGUCUAACGAUGACCGUACCGCAAACCGACACAGGUGGGCGAGAUGAGUAUUCUAAGGCGCUUGAGAGAACUCGGGAGAAGGAACUCGGCAAAUUGGUACCGUAACUUCGGGAUAAGGUACGCCCUUGUAGCUUGACUGGCCUGCGCCAGGAGGGUGAAGGGGUUGCAAUAAACUGGUGGCUGCGACUGUUUAAUAAAAACACAGCACUCUGCAAACACGAAAGUGGACGUAUAGGGUGUGACGCCUGCCCGGUGCCGGAAGAUUAAAUGAUGGGGUGCAAGCUCUUGAUUGAAGUCCCGGUAAACGGCGGCCGUAACUAUAACGGUCCUAAGGUAGCGAAAUUCCUUGUCGGGUAAGUUCCGACCUGCACGAAUGGCGUAACGAUGGCCACACUGUCUCCUCCCGAGACUCAGCGAAGUUGAAGUGUUUGUGAUGAUGCAAUCUACCCGCGGCUAGACGGAAAGACCCCAUGAACCUUUACUGUAGCUUUGCAUUGGACUUUGAACCGAUCUGUGUAGGAUAGGUGGGAGGCUAUGAAACCGGAACGCUAGUUUCGGUGGAGCCGUCCUUGAAAUACCACCCUGGUUUGUUUGAGGUUCUAACCUUGGCCCGUGAUCCGGGUCGGGGACAGUGCAUGGUAGGCAGUUUGACUGGGGCGGUCUCCUCCCAAAGCGUAACGGAGGAGUACGAAGGUACGCUAGGUACGGUCGGAAAUCGUGCUGAUAGUGCAAUGGCAUAAGCGUGCUUAACUGCGAGACCGACAAGUCGAGCAGGUGCGAAAGCAGGUCAUAGUGAUCCGGUGGUUCUGUAUGGAAGGGCCAUCGCUCAACGGAUAAAAGGUACUCUGGGGAUAACAGGCUGAUACCGCCCAAGAGUUCAUAUCGACGGCGGUGUUUGGCACCUCGAUGUCGGCUCAUCUCAUCCUGGGGCUGUAGCCGGUCCCAAGGGUAUGGCUGUUCGCCAUUUAAAGAGGUACGUGAGCUGGGUUUAAAACGUCGUGAGACAGUUUGGUCCCUAUCUGCCGUGGGCGUUGGAUAUUUGAAGGGGGCUGCUCCUAGUACGAGAGGACCGGAGUGGACGAACCUCUGGUGUACCGGUUGUCACGCCAGUGGCAUCGCCGGGUAGCUAUGUUCGGAAGAGAUAACCGCUGAAAGCAUCUAAGCGGGAAACUCGCCUUAAGAUGAGAUAUCCCUGGAGGCUAGACCUCCUUGAAGGGUCGUUCGAGACCAGGACGUUGAUAGGUCAGGUGUGUAAGCGCAGUAAUGCGUUCAGCUAACUGAUACUAAUUGCCCGUAAGGCUUGAUCCU